AAUAAUAAUAAUAAUAAUAAUAAUAAUAAGUCACUGUUUGUUAAGGUAGUUAUAGACAGUACAGCAACAAUAAUAAUAAUAAUAAUAAUAAUAAUAAUAAGUCACUGUUUGUUAAGGUAGUUAUAGACAGUACAGUAACACAAUUAUUUGUAUUCACUAAAAGUAGGAUAUUUAUUUUCUUUCAAUCUGUUCUUUUCUAAAUGUAUCUGAGAAUAUAGACAGAAGGGCUAAAAUGGACAUGAUUGAUCUGAGGGGAAAUUAUUGAUCCAUUCAGAAAGGUUUUUUGCAUCAAGUAAUUGAUGUUAUAUUAUGUAAAGUAGACUAGGUUAUAAUGUAUAGUAGUGGGUUGUUAGUGAUAUGUUAUAUUAUGUAAAGUAGACUAGGUUAUAAUAUAUAGUAGUGGGUUGUUAGUGAUAUGUAGAUGUUAUAUUAUGUAAAGUAGGCUAGGUUAUAAUGUAUAGUAGUGGGUUGUUAGUGAUAUGUUAUAUUAUGUAAAGUAGACUAGGUUAUAAUGUAUAGUAGUGGGUUGUUAGUGAUAUGUUAUAUUAUGUAAAGUAGACUAGGUUAUAAUGUAUAGUAGUGGGUUGUUAGUGAUAUGUUAUAUUAUGUAAAGUAGACUAGGUUAUAAUGUAUAGUAGUGGGUUGUUAGUGAUAUAUAGAUGUUAUAUUAUGUAAAGUAGACUAGGUUAUAAUGUAUAGUAGUGGUUUGUUAGUGAUAUGUAGAUGUUAUAUUAUGUAAAGUAGACUAGGUUAUAAUGUAUAGUAGUGGUUUGUUAGUGAUAUGUAGAUGUUAUAUUAUGUAAAGUAGACUAGGUUAUAAUGUAUAGUAGUGGGUUGUUAGUGAUAUGUAGAUGUUAUAUUAUGUAAAGUAGACUAGGUUAUAAUGUAUAGUAGUGGGUUGUUAGUGAUAUGUAGAUGUUAUAUUAUGUAAAGUAGACUAGGUUAUAAUGUAUAGUAGUGGGUUGUUAGUGAUAUGUAGAUGUUAUAUUAUGUAAAGUAGACUAGGUUAUAAUGUAUAGUAGUGGGUUGUUAGUGAUAUGUAGAUGUUAUAUUAUGUAAAGUAGACUAGGUUAUAAUGUAUAGUAGUGGGUUGUUAGUGAUAUGUUAUAUUAUGUAAAGUAGACUAGGUUAUAAUGUAUAGUAGUGGGUUGUUAGUGAUAUGUUAUAUUAUGUAAAGUAGACUAGGUUAUAAUGUAUAGUAGUGGGUUGUUAGUGAUAUGUUAUAUUAUGUAAAGUAGACUAGGUUAUAAUGUAUAGUAGUGGGUUGUUAGUGAUAUGUAGAUGUUAUAUUAUGUAAAGUAGACUAGGUUAUAAUGUAUAGUAGUGGGUUGUUAGUGAUAUGUAGAUGUUAUAUUAUGUAAAGUAGACUAGGUUAUAAUGUAUAGUAGUGGGUUGUUAGUGAUAUGUAGAUGUUAUAUUAUGUAAAGUAGACUAGGUUAUAAUGUAUAGUAGUGGGUUGUUAGUGAUAUGUAGAUGUUAUAUUAUGUAAAGUAGACUAGGUUAUAAUGUAUAGUAGUGGGUUGUUAGUGAUAUGCAGAUCAAGGUCUAUACCUCGGCUAUAACCUACAUAUCAUAGAUGACCAGCCUAAACCUGUUCAGAUCAGUUCACAUAAUGUUAUAGUCCUUCCAGUAGCAGGACAGAGAAUGUACUGUAUAUAACCUACAUAUCAUAGAUGACCAGCCUAAACCUGUUCAGAUCAGUUCACAUAAUGUUAUAGUCCUUCCAGUAGCAGGACAGAGCAUCUACACUAUAUAGUCAAAAGUAUGUGGACAACCCUUCAAAUUAGUGGAUUCGGCUAUUUCGUUGCUGACAGGUGUAUAAAAUCAAGCACACUGUCAUGCAAUCUCCAUAGGCAAACAAUGGUGGCAACAGUUUGGGGAAUGCCAUUUUCUGUUUCAGCUUGACAAUGUCCCCGUCCACAAAGUGAGGUCAAUACAGAAAUAGCUUCUCAAGAUCGGUGUGGGAGAACUUGACUGGCCUGCACAGUGCCCUGACCUCAACCCCAUCAAACACCUUUGGG